GCACCCGUAGCUCAGCUGGAUAGAGCGUUGCCCUCCGAAGGCAAAGGUCGUACGUUCGAAUCGUAUCGGGUGCGCCA
rnacentral:tRNA from 3 species